GAAGUCAGAUUUGCUUUAACUUCCACAUUUGCAGAGAGAAUAUGAUACAAUGGUUUUGAGCUUCCGCAUGUGUAAAUGAUCUUACAAAGUUUUAUGUAUUAAAGAUACUUUAUUUUACUUUUUAAUACUGACAUAUAGUCAAACAGAUUCAUAAUCUGAAAUUUCUCUAUUAUAUUAUUAAUAUUGGGGGUAGUUGAAACUAUGUAUUAUAUUUAGUUAAAUAUUUUAUAUUUCAAACGAAUAAUAGUAUACUUCUCACUAACUUGAAUUAGUCAACGAUUAUGAUUAAAGUCAAGAAAUAAUUUUGGUAGAUGAUGGAAGCAAACGUGAUGGUCCAGCGAAGGAGUUGGCAACAAAGGAUCUGAGGAGAGAGGAGUGAGGAGUGAGACUCGAAGUGAACUAUUAGUUAGAGAGCUAUAAGUUCAAAACGAACUGAUACCG
rnacentral:lncRNA from 1 species